rnacentral:rRNA from 1 species
UACGUAGGGUGCAAGCGUUGUCCGGAAUUAUUGGGCGUAAAGAGCUCGUAGGCGGUCUGUCGCGUCGGCUGUGAAAACCCGGGGCUCAACCCCGGGCCUGCAGUCGAUACGGGCAAACUAGAGUGUGGUAGGGGAGACUGGAAUUCCUGGUGUAGCGGUGAAAUGCGCAGAUAUCAGGAGGAACACCGGUGGCGAAGGCGGGUCUCUGGGCCAUAACUGACGCUGAGGAGCGAAAGCGUGGGGAGCGAACAGG